UAAUCCCUCCUUCUAUUCAUCCUCUAUAUUUAUCUGCUUCAGCGAUCGAUUUCUUUCUAUUUUAUAGUGAUUAAAAACGUGGUUCAAAUAAGAAAAUUGAUAGAUUAACAAAUUCUGUGACUGGCUUGGUUUCCACAGCUGAAUUGGUUAGUUUGCACUUCCUACUGUUCUUUGUCUUUGUUUUAUAUUUUAUUGCACCGGUUAUUUAUUCAAAAAAAGGUUUAAAAUUGCUGCAAUUUAUGGGUGUUGCUGUGUAUUUUUUAUUUUAUUUUAUGCUUUACCUAAUUUGUUACUUGGCAAUUCUAUAUGCUUAACCUAAUUUUGAGCUGUAAAAUUGGAGCUUAAACCUAAUUUCUUUGGCUUGUUCCCAUUGCUAAGCUUGAAAUUCAACUAAUCUUCUACUUAGAGAACGUACUCACCCAGAGCUUAUUUCUAAUUUGAGAUGCGUAUACACGUGAUGGGAGCAUGACAGAGUAGACUUCAUAACAUUGGAGUGAGCCUCUUCAGUUCUGUGGUUAAGAGUGGUAAUUCCAAUUGAAAAAGUCCUAAAUUUGUUUUUCUCAAUCCUACUCGCAUUCUUUGAUAAUAGAUUGGUUGAUUUUAGCUGUUUCGAGAUUGAUGUUAUCAGUUUAAUGUUCGGUACUUAUAGUUGCAGCCUUGCAGGUUAAGGUUAUGUGAAGGUUUUAAAUAUUAGUUUCGAGUCAUAAAAAAUGAAGGCCAAUACAUUCAAUUCUUGACAAAGAAAUUGUUAUUUCAUCUUUCCCCAAAUUUGCAAUAGGUACAUGCUUUUAUGCUCUUCUAGAUUCUGCAUUUAGUUCGUUUUGGCUGUUUUAAGGUACUAAAUGAUUUUUCUUUAUUUAGGUGCUGCAUUUAAUCUGGUUUAUCGUUUAUUCAUGUAUACUGUAUCAUUUUGUUAGCUCACUUGCUAGAGAGUUGUUUUAGUUAGAUAGGUUCUCUUUCAUGUCUGGUUACAUUGUGAGUUCUUUCUACUGUUGUUUCUGUUGCAUUCAGUCUUGUUUCAAGUUUCUCACAUUAUCCAUUGGUCUUCCUCUGAUUUUCUUAUAUAUCUCUAUUUUCGUCCUCGUAGUUAAACUAGCCCAUUGUCACUGCCAGUUAGGACUCCAUGUGUUUAGGGUAGCCUUGCUAUUGAAUCAGUAUAGCACACAUUUCUAUAUUUUACUUUAGAUCAUCUUCUGUUCAUCUUAAGGUUUAAAUGUUUAAAACGAUACUUAAACAGCUCUUUGUGGUUCUCUAAUAAUUACUCAUGGAGGAUUCUUCUAGCUUCAGGAUAUAAAAUUCUUAAGCUAACUCUUAUAUUAGGUAUUUUUCAUACUAUUCAUCCUUGACUAUUAAUAGUUACUACUUUUCAUGGUUAUACAAUUGUUGAAUUACUUAUUUCAUUGGGAACAUGCAGAACCAUAAAAAUUCCAGUUAACAUUUUGCAUGUGCAGAAUUUAAGGUGACCACUUUGGGGAAAAAAACCAUUAUCUGCUCUUGAAGUUCUUUUCUCCACAUUUAUUACCUAUUUAAGAAUAGGUCAAUGUCGUUUGGAAGGAAAAUCACACCUUCAUUGGCAUUUUUAAGAGCCGAAAGAGCCGAAAUUCAAGGAUUUGCGACACUCUAUUCUUUUGUGCUUAGGACAUACGAUUCCCUCUAGGUAUUCUGUUUAUGUUGUUACUAUAUUAUCUUAAUUAUUAUUAGGGUAAACAACACAAUUUCACAAUAUUUUCUUCUUAGUUUUCCCCCUGGUGAAGUAAGGCUUGAAUAGAGUUCUUUUGUUAAAGCCUAAAGAAAUAUCUCAGAUAAAGAACUUGCUCAAUGUAAACUGGUAGGAUUACAUGAAAUCUUGAUAGAGUGACACUUCAUAUAUUAACUAACUUUUCAUAAGGUGCCGAGAGAUUUAUCUAAGGUGAAUUGCUACAAAGAUCUUUAAAUCAUAGGUUUAAGUAACUCUUCGUGAUGCGUUGCAAAAGGAUCCUCCUGGUCUAUUCUUGUUCUUUAUUUACCCCAUAUUCUACUCCACAAUCAGUGGGUGCAUGAGUGUUCUGCACGACAUAUAAAUUACCAAGUGGAUCACAUCUUCUCCUGAUUUCUUGCACAUGAAGCUCCAUGUAUGGUUGACAGGUUUUAUUUUUCCUUUUAUUUAAAAUUUGUCGUUACUAAUUCUAAAUAAGGGUCUUACUUUGUACUCUAAUUUGCCUUCUAGCAAUUUGCAAUGUUUUGUUUUGCUAAUUGUACCCGCUGACACGUGGUCUUAGUAUCUAAAUAUACUGUCUAACUUUGUAUCUACUUGUAGGUCUCGAUUAUCCAUUUUGUUAUUAAAUUAAUAAAAAUGGAGUAUAAUAAAUUUACUGGGCUCUACGUUGACUUCCUUUUGCGCUUUCUUCAUGUUGUUGUAAUGUAUAUAUUGACUUUGUACCUUGUUUGUUGUAUGUCACUUUAUUUUUGAAUUAUGCAGCUUCGUUAAAGUAAAGCUUUAGCCAAGCCAUGAAUAGAUCAAUAAGUUUCUGUGAAAAAUUGAUUACGUUCACCAUUUUUUUACUAUUGCAAAGAGUUUUCUUUCCUUUUUGUUCCAAUAUUUUUCAUCUCCUGACUUUUGAAUGCGUACAAGGAAAACUCAAGUUUCCAGGCUUCAAUUACAAUAGAAGUUCUGCCUAGAAUAAGUUAAAGCUAUUACUUUUGCUACUUGAUUUCUUAUAUGUCACAUUCUUUGUUAUGGAACUUUAUGAACAUAAAGCCUUGACAUAAUUGUUAAUAGGUCAAUGAUUUUGUGGUUUGUUCAAUCUAUCUGUUAUCUUUUUUCUCGAUUCAUUUAUGGUGUAAACUGUCAUAUUUUUAGUGAUGUAUAAAUAUUGUAGUGAUAGAACUAUUUGGACAUUUAUAGUGUGUCUAUACUUCCAAUUGAACUUUAAAUCUUUGUUAAACUUUUAUAGAUUGCUCGAACUGCAGAUGUCGACCGAUAAAAAACCUUUGGCAUCAUCUUGCUGCCCGCAAAAAAGGAAGCAAUACUGGGUAGAAACAGUAAAACCUUUGGCAUCAUCUUGCUGCCCGCAAAAAAGGAAGCAAUACUGGGUAGAAACAGUUUCUAAAAUUAACGAUGGGAGACGUGAUCUGUACAAACAGUUGCCAGUUGAUAAAAGAGAGUUGCUUUUAGCGCAAUGACGAUCAAAAAAGCUUGAACUAAAAAAGGGUCAAAGCGUGCUGCUUGAAUAUGCCAAACAAGCUGCUGGGUUUGAAUUACCUACACCAAAAACUCUAACAAUUGUUGAGCCACCAUGUCUUAUCCCGACAAGUUAGAAGCAAAAAAUGAUUUAAUCAGAAAAAGACCCAAAGCAAAAAAUGAUUUAAUCAGAAAAAGACCCAUUUACACACUGUUUGUAGACAUAAAUAUAUGCAUGUAUAUAUGUGUUCUGUUUCGUGAUUAUACUUAAAUCCAAUUUUCUCUUGCUAAAUAUAUUUGGAUUCGGAUGUUAGCCGGUAUAUCUUCCAUUGCCGGCCCAGUAGCUGGUUGUGACAGAGGAAAAAAUAUUACCGAUCACUUCUCCGUUUUUGAACAUGGCUCGGCCUCUGGUGCAUCCUAUGACCAACACCAUACUGAGACAUCUGUCGUCACAAAUAAAGGUAUGUCAAAGAGAUCCUACAAAGUAAAAUGCUUCCACAUCUUGGUACUAAAAGAUAUUAAAUUGCUGUUGGGACAACUGAAGGGCUGCGAUAUCUUCAUGAGGGAGAUCAAAGAAUAAUUAUCCACAGAGAUAUUAAGGCUGCAAAUAUAUUGCUUACUAAGGACUUUGAAUCUCAGAUUUGUGAUUUUGGCCUUGCCAAAUGGUUGCCCGAGUAAUGGACUCACCACACUGUACCAAAAUUUGAAGGCACAUUUGAGUUAGUAUACUGUUGAGAGGAGAUUCAUAUGGGGUGGACUGCCUCAAACUUGAUUUUUAUUGUUUCUUGUGUAAAGGAAUCACAACAUUUCAAAAGAGAGCAAUUAGAGCAUGGAAUACGAACAAAGAGGGCUCGGGCGAGACAGCAGAGACCACUACUGUAAAUUAAUGCGAAUGAAGACAACUGAUCAGGUUUUGAAGCAUCACCUUAAUCUGUCCUAAAAAUGAAAAUUCCUGGAAUUACUUGUCUCUGCAAUACCGUAAAGCUCGUUAUGUUGAAGACAAACGACAACAUUGCUUUGUGAGUAGGGGUGGGCAUAAAAUCCAAAAAAUAGAAUUCUGAACCGAACCGGACCGAAUUAAUUCGGUAUUUCGGUUUCGGUUUUUUUCGGUAUUUCGGUACGGUCCUCGGUAUUAAAAUUCUGAAAUUUCGGUAUACCGAAAUACCGAUUUAUAUAUAAGAAAAAUUUCUGCAGUGAAGAUGAGGCGCUUAUGGCUUUUAACCGUGAAAUGGAUGCUAAUUCAAUCCAAAAGGAAAGAAUAUCUGCUUUAUUGCCAUCUGAAUCACUAGAGUCGAUGUGUACGGAGACCAUGCUUCUAGCUGGAAAGAAGAUGAAUGAAUGGAUGGCUGAGUUGGAUGCCAUUGCAAGGGAAGUUGAAGCAGAGUUAGCUCUAAGAGAAAUAGGAUGCAAUUUGGCUGAACUUUUUGGAUGCAGUUUCUUUUCAAGUCAAGGGAUUUCAAGAGGUCAUCUAUUUUAGUGAAUUCAACGUGUUCAUACCUGCAUUCAGUACUUAGUUGUGGACAGUGUAGUGGUAUAUCUUCUUUUCCUAAUCCAAUAUUAUCAUCAGUUUUGGUAUUUCUGCAAGUCUGAAACUUCAUACUUUUAUUAAUUAAUGUUUAUGUCACAAUUUGAAGUAGUGCUUA